rnacentral:rRNA from 1 species
AGAAUUUGAUCCUGGUUCAGAUUGAACGCUGGCAGCGUGGAUGAGGCAUGCAAGUCGCACGAAGUCUGCAAAGACUUAGUGGCGGAAGGGUUAGGAAUACAUGGGUAACCUGCCUCUAACUUGGGAAUAACGGCUGGAAACGGCCGCUAAUACUGAAUGUGGUGGGAAGCGGCAUCGCUUCUUCAUUAAAGUGGGGGAUCGCAAGACCUUGCGGUUAGAGAGGGGCCCAUGCGAUAUCAGCUUGUUGGUAGGGUAAUGGCCUACCAAGGCUAAGACGUCUAGGCGGGUUGAGAGAUUGACCGCCAACACUGGGACUGAGACACUGCCCAGACUCCUACGGGAGGCUGCAGUCGAGAAUCAUUCGCAAUGGGCGAAAGCCUGACGAUGCGACGCUGCGUGAGCGAUGAAGGCCCUCGGGUCGUAAAGCUCUUUCGCCGGGGAACAAGGGAGGAUGGCUAACAUCCAUCUAACUUGAGCGUACCCGGUAAAGAAGCACCGGCUAACUCCGUGCCAGCAGCUGCGGUAAUACGGAGGGUGCAAGCGUUAAUCGGAUUUAUUGGGCGUAAAGGGGGCGUAGGCGGGAAGGCAAGUCAGAUGUGAAAUUCCGGGGCUCAACCUCGGAGCUGCAUUUGAAACUACCUUUCUUGAGGAAAGGCGGAGAAAACGGAAUUCCACAAGUAGCGGUGAAAUGCGUAGAUAUGUGGAAGAACACCUGUGGCGAAAGCGGUUUUCUAGCUUAUUCCUGACGCUGAGGCCCGAAAGCUAGGGGAGCAAACAGGAUUAGAUACCCUGGUAGUCCUAGCCGUAAACGAUGUGUACUUGGUGUAGAUGGUCUCAAUCCCGUCUGUGCCGGAGCUAACGCGUUAAGUACACCGCCUGGGGAGUACGCUCGCAAGGGUGAAACUCAAAAGAAUUGACGGGGACCCGCACAAGCAGUGGAGCAUGUGGUUUAAUUCGAUCCCCGUGAAGAACCUUACCUGGACUUGACAUACAGCGGACAGCUUCAGAAAUGAAGUCUUCCUUCGGGACUGCUGAACAGGUGCUGCAUGGCUGUCGUCAGCUCGUGCCGUGAGGUGUUGGGUUAAGUCCCGCAACGAUCGCAACCCUUGUCGUUAGUUGCCAACAGUAAGGCUGGGAACUCUAACGAGACUGCCUGGGUUAACCAGGAGGAAGGUGAGGAUGACGUCAAGUCAGCAUGGCCCUUAUGUCCAGGGCUACACACGUGCUACAAUGGUCGGUACAGAGGGCAGCAAAAUCGAGAGAUCAAGCAAAUCCCAAAAAGCCGGCCCCAGUUCGGAUUGUAGUCUGCAACUCGACUACAUGAAGUCGGAAUUGCUAGUAAUGGCGUGUCAGCAAUAGCGCCGUGAAUACGUUCCCGGGUCUUGUUCACACCGCC